rnacentral:rRNA from 1 species
AUGGCUUCUCAACUGGCCGACCCUACUCUUGCUCGUAUCUGGGACUCGCGUGUCCCCAGCAGAGUGAGGGUGUUCGGCUGGCUUUUCUACCUCGACCGACUUAACACACGGGCAAACCUGCUCCGUAAGUCCAUCAUCGACUCUGCUGCAUGCCCCCGAUGCGCUGCUGCGUCCGAAGACCGGGCACACCUCUUCCUCCGUUGUCCGGCAACUCGUGCCAUUUGGGAUGCCAUUGGUCUACACCCUUGCUCUACCCCCUUCGCACAUCUUUGGGUCUCCCAUGGGCACCCGGGUCUCCCUGAGUCAGUAUGGCCUCUCAUUCUUCUUCUUAUCCUUCGGAAAAUUUGGGAUGUCCGUAAUGCUAAAACUUUUAGGGAUAUAGAUGUCUCACCCCAUGAUGUUAUUAGGGGCAUCAUUGCGGACCUUACUUUGUGGUCUCAUCGCCUUAAGAAGGCGGAGGACAAAGUUCACGCCGGCCUGUGGCGGGACUAUUUUACCUCUCGUCUUGUCUAA